ACCUACAAAAGAGGAAAUGUAAAACUAAUAUAAACCUAAACAGCCAAUGGUUAAGUAAUUACUUAAGUAUAAUUUAUUAGGUCAUUGCAUACUGAGAAUCAAUGCAAAGCCAGGGGACAAUGAGGAAGUGGAGCCUACGUCUAUGGUUGGCUUAGAACACCAUCAGGCUGAGAGGCGAGCAGAGCCAAAGGUGUGUCCAUCACCAUGCAGGAGCGAAGUCCAGAACCCACCAGGCAUUGAGCACUCUCACCUCAGGACUUCACCCAGCUGAGCGUCUGCUCAGGGACUGGCCUACGUCACACUGUGGUGGCCUCACCUGUUACCUCUGCAUCCACGCUGCCCCAGUAAGAGGCAUCUCCAGUCAAGCCAUUCAAAUCCCUUUCACUGAUGAAAGCCUGUAUUUGUCUUGAAACCAUGGCAAAGCCAGAUUUUCCCAGCCAAGCUACACUCCAUGCUUCACAUUGCUUCCAAUGUUAUGUUUAUAAUGAAAUGAAAUGUCUAUAAACACAUAUAUGUCCUUCGUGAGCGACACAGGAAGCUGUUUAAGCAUGGUAGCCAGGACUGAAGGCCCCCAAGCUAAAGCACACUGUCUGUGCCAAUGUCCACAUGGACAGCGAGUGGCAUGCAGACACUUAAAAUUUUUUUAAAGAGAAAAGGUGA
rnacentral:lncRNA from 1 species